UACAGAGGGUGCAAGCGUUAAUCGGAUUUACUGGGCGUAAAGGGCGCGUAGGUUGUUGCGUAAGUGAGAUGUGAAAGCCCCGGGCUUAACCUGGGAACUGCGUCUUAUACUGCGUAACUGGAGUGCAAUAGAGGGUAGUGGAAUUUCCGGUGUAGCGGUGAAAUGCGUAGAUAUCGGAAGGAACACCAGUGGCGAAGGCGGCAUCCUGGACCGGUAUUGACACUGAGGCGCGAAAGCUAGGGGAGCAAACGGG
rnacentral:rRNA from 1 species